CUUCUGCUCGAGGAGUUCAUUGAUUUAAAAGGGGUGGUUCCUAAUGAUAGUGCAGGAAAUGCGCUCUUUCCGGGGGCUGACGGCGCACCCCCAGGAGGUGCUGUGCUGGCUGGACAGAAGAAAGGUCAGUACAACUGGGGACCGUCGGGUAGGCUUCGAUAUGGGUGUUCCGGAGGCGGUGGGAGUCACGGUGUCAACUGACGCGUCAAAAAAGGAAAACCUAAGGCAGGAAGGGUACUCGGCAGGGCUUCAGCCC